UUAUCCUUAGUUCCUAAGGACUCCUCUCCCAUCUACACACUCCGUGGGUUUCGACCCAUUUCCCGCAGAACCGCCAGAACCCAGGCCUGGAGGUGCCUUGGCCUCCGGAAGGCACCAAAGCGGGAGCCACAACCCGGAGCGGCUCCCAAUCCGCCGAGAGCAGGCGGUGGGUACCCCCCUUUCCCUCGCUUUUUCAGCGAGGUUGGAAGCGGCUGCUCCUUCUUCUUCAAACUUAACUCCGCACACCAGCGGCCCGGCCCGGAUCGAGCCUUUCCCGAGCGGUUCCGGAAGUGGGCCACUUCAGUGCAAAGUCAUAAAGCUUCAGGUGUUCAGAAGUACCAGACUGUAUUAAGAUCCCUGCAUCUGGCUUACCAAGAGGUGUCCAGAGGCUGUGCCCUUCUGUCAAACAGUGUGGACAAGAGCAGCAAAGCUGCAGAGCAGAACCAUGGAUGCUCCUGAGAGUGGCUGUGAGUCUUCAAAAUACAUAAAAGCAACUUCUUUUCAAGUUCCCUCAUGGCCACUUGGACUACACCAUCCACUGAACCAAGGGAAGAAUUCCUGCUGCAACCAGCUCCUUCAUUUUCUUAAAAUCUAUACUGCAGUUUUUCUUCUGCUU